AGGAUUAACAUGGAGCGUAUGACAGUGCUGUGGAAAAACCCAGAAUCUGGAAAAUUAAAGGUUGCCUUGUUAUUUCCUUUACAUGCUACUCUUUCUUUAUCACCUGAAGAAUAAAGUGCAUGCUAUCACCCCGCUUCAGUUUCUUCCAGAUAUUCUGCAACUUGAAGAAAGCUCAACUACUAGCUGAACUAUAGCCCUGAUGCAGAUGUUCUAGAAAACUCAUGAUAGUAUUGUACUGUUCGCUUAAAGAAUUGUAUAAUAGAAUGAUCUCCAAUAUUUAGUUUACAAGGAUGUCCAGAAAUCAUUUUCCAAGUUUUCUUUGCAUGACAGCUUUAUCAAAACUAAUGAAGUUGUUUAAAAAAAAAUAAUGAACUUCCAUACAUAAUAUGCCAUUCAUGUUUGUUAUGCUUCUUAUUAUGCUGAUGACUUCAGGAAAUUUGUUGCUAAAAUGGUCUUUGGACUUUCAGCAAUGACAUGCAAACCAACAAAAAUUCUGUGUUUAAAUGCUGAAUAGUGUAAUUAAAUGAAAUUUUGAUCUUCUUCAUACAAACAGUGCUGUAUUUCUGA